GAGGCGGUUGUCUGGCUUCCUGGAUAAGUCAGACCUGGAAUGGUGGGGAGAGGUCAGGCGAGGAUCUUCAGUCAGCAGAGCCCACCUGGGGUAAAAACAUGGAGCUCAGACAGGCGUGCAGGGCCCAGAAAGGCACCAUUGCACCAGCUUGUCGCAGGGUGCACCAGCGACUGCUUUUCCUUGUUCCUCCGGUUAGCCGCAUUCCUCUCCCUGAACCAGCAUUUUGACAACACGUCCUUAGGGCCAUCACUGAAACUUAGAGGGGUGCCAUCAUCCUCACACCCAAGGCUGAAGUUUUCCAUGGGUGGCCGGUGCCAUGCCCUGUGCUUCCCAGCCUGCCUGUCCCUGGGAUCUUCCUUUUGGUGAUAGGACUGGCUCGUCAAGAUCAGGAUGCACCAGUGAAAGUGACUUUUACCAGCCACUGCUUUUCACUGUUCCUCUGGUUAGCAGCAUUUCUCUUCCUGAGCCAGCAUUUUGACAACGUGUCCUUAUCAUCAGCGUUUGCCUGUUUUGUCUUUGAUCUACAAAAGACAUCUGUUUUACCCCAAUGCAGUCUCUGGAGGUGCACUGGCUGUUUUGUGUAUGAACUGCAGUUCCUGGCGAUUCUGAUUUCAAUGUGAAAAUCUAAUAUUCUAAAGGACUCUGUGGAUCACUAUGUAAUUUUCUUAACAGGGGUUGUAAAAGUAACUUUCUUAGUCACAUGCCUGCAAACCCCACUGCUUCCCAAACUCUGUAAUCAGGAGAAGGGCUGACCUAGUGAAUACCCUUGGAUGACUGGAGGGAAAAAAAAUAGUCUACACAGGAAAUCUCUACUUCAAACUCAUGGGCUUGCAUAGCUCAGAAAUCCCGGGGGCAGACUAAUAGCUAGUGGGGUUGUAUCUUUAUUUGAGCAGAAACAGACUUUCAGGAAUUUUCCAUGGGAACUUGCCCUCAUCCGUCUAGGGUAAACCUUAAAUGAAAAUACGGGCUACUGGCCACCUCGAUGAAAAGGAGGGGGUAUUUUUGUUUUCCUUCUUAUCCUCUUAGCACAGCCAGGAGGAAUACCCUGUUCUGUUGCAUGUACUAAAAUGUUCCCAGAUUUUCUCAACAGCAUACUUUAAAAUAGAACAGCAGCGUGGAAAAUAAGUAAAUAAAUACAAAGAACAUGUCAGAGAAACCCUCUAGAUCUCCUGAACACAGUUGAGUUAUCUCUGCAAAUUAGGCUGGAGAAAAUUCUGCUUAGCAUGGUGCACAUCAGCCUACAGAGAAAACACGUCGUGGAGAAGUGAACUUGCCUGACCCAGCUUGGGCGGACGUGCCGAUGGGGAUAUCUGGGCAAAAUGAAAGCUGUUUAUCUACUACUGUCUCUUACCGUGACCAGCAGCACCUAGAACAUGGAACUCACAGACACAAGCUUCUCCGCUCUGGAUCCCUAAAAUUUCAAUUGGUAGAAAACCAGCUGCAGAAGAUGAGAUCACAGAAGGUUGUCCCAUUCCUCCCCAACCCAGACCACACAGGCCAGUGAAUUGCAGACAGGGAAAGGCAAGGAAAUGUCAGCAAUUAUUAAUGAAUCCCUUCAAAGACCUCAAUCCUAGAUGGGUAAUUCAGCAGAAAUCAAGACCUA